GACAGAGGAUGCAAGCGUUAUCCGGAAUGAUUGGGCGUAAAGCGUCUGUAGGUGGCUUUUUAAGUCCGCCGUCAAAUCCCAGGGCUCAACCCUGGACAGGCGGUGGAAACUACCAAGCUGGAGUACGGUAGGGGCAGAGGGAAUUUCCGGUGGAGCGGUGAAAUGCGUAGAGAUCGGAAAGACACCGAUGGCGAAGGCACUUUACUGGGCUAUUACUAACACUCAGAGACGAAAGCUAGGGUAGCAAAUAGGG
rnacentral:rRNA from 1 species